rnacentral:lncRNA from 12 species
CAGGUCACAUUCCUCCUCGGCUCCGGCCUCGGGCUCCCGGCGCUGCUCCGGCCUCUCCUUCCCAGUCCAGGCCCCGGCCCCGAGCGCUCGGGCCGCCGGCGGCUCCGCACGCGGACUCCUCGCAGCAGCCGCCGCGCUGCCUCUGGGCGACUCACAGACUCUCCCCCCGCCUCCUCCUCCCGCGGCUCCGCGCCCCCAACGCCGCCGCCGCCGCCGCCGCCAUCUUUAAACCACCGAGCGCUGGGAGAGCGUGGGACAGAGCGUCUCCCGCCCCGCCCCGCCCCCCCUCCCGGCCAGUCACCUCCGCUUCUCCGAGGGAGGAAUUCCCGGAGGCCCCGCCCCCGCCCCCGGCCCCGCCCCCGGCCCCGCCUCCUCGCCGGGGGGUCCCCCUCGCGCCCACCUCGUCCGCGCGGCCUCCUCCACGCCUUCGGGUCUUUCGGGUCCUCCCGCCCUUCGCGCCCCCCGGGCCUGCGGGGUCUGGAUUCGUCUCCGCCGACCCCUCCCACGUCCGGCUCUCCGUGCUGCCGCCUUUCGGAGGUGCACGGUCGAAAGCCUUCCCGGUCCCACCUCCACCUGUCAAGUCCAUCAGGCGCGCGCGGAGCGCCCCAGGUGCACAGCAGGCACAGUUGGGACAGGAAAGCGCAAGGCGUUUGCUGCUUGCCAUCCAGGUUCCACACAGAAAAUAUGCUUAAAGUUAAAGCAGACAGGAUAGGAGACAUUUCAAAGAAGCAACAAAACAUUCACUAGGAAGGUAGGUUUAGGGGGGAAAGGCGGAUGCGGCUCUCCUUUACACACCUUUCAUAGAACCAGGAUGACCUUAAAAAAAAAAAAGAAAGAAAGAACCAGGAUGACCUUAGAUGGACCAUCCAUUGACAUUGAUACUAUCAGAGCACUAUGGAAUUAUUCCAUUGUGAUCCAGGGUAACCCCAAAUAACUGAAAUUGCCCCUCCCCCAAAUGGUAACAGAAACACUGUGCUUUAGCACUAGAUAGAAUAUGAAUUUUCCAUUUGGAUCAAAGCUUUCCUGUGUUUAAAAUAUUUUUUUCCUUUUAAUUCCUGAAGCAUUUGCAACUACUGGGGAAAAAAAUCAAUUACAAGGGAUAAAGGUUAUCAUAGAGGUAGAACUUGGUGUAUUGUUUGGUUUUUAUUAUCUGAGAGAAUACUAAUUUAAGCAUAGCAGUCUGGCUUCUCUGCUAAUUCAUGCAUGGUACAUAAUAGAUGAGUAUAGUACAGUGGCUAAGGGCAGGGAUUCUGAAGCCAGACUGAGCUCAAAACUGGGCUCUGAUACUUAUUAGGUAAAUACUUAACCUUAUCCAUGAGGUGAUGAUGAUGACAAUAAUACCCACCUUAUAGAGCUGUUGUUAAAAGUAAACUGGUUAGGGAUCCCUGGGUGGCGCAGCGGUUUGGCGCCUGCCUUUGGCCCAGGGCGCGAUCCUGGAGACCCAGGAUCGAAUCCCACAUCAGGCUCCCGGUGCAUGGAGCCUGCUUCUCCCUCUGCCUAUGUCUCUGCCUCUCUCUCUCUGUGACUAUCAUAAAUAAAUAAAAAUUAAAAAAAAAAAUUUAAAAAAAA